rnacentral:lncRNA from 10 species
AGGGUCUAUGAGAAAUAAAAGAAUGGUGCUGACAGACAAAAACAUACAUAUGACGGUUGAGAAAGACACAUAUUCUGAUCAUGAAGAAAUAAACACAAGUUAAAUAUGACUAAGCAGAAAGAUGGAAGGACCAGGAAGAGUCGUGCUAACUUGGAGCCACUAUGCAGGCUCUAAACUCCUCUACAAUCAUCCUCCCUUGUGAGAAAAAUACAUAAGUCGCUUUUAAAAUAAAUAGGAAACCUGAACACACUUCUUAGCUGGUUUAAGUAUUUUAAAAACAUUGAUGAAUUAAACACAAAAAUAUGGGGAAAUCUCAUUACUUACCUUAAAUUUUGAAAUUUUCUUUACGGAUCAUGAGUUACUUAAUGCUCUUUCACUCCUGAGUUUACAUUGUAAAUUAAAGUUAUGUUGGCUUUAAAAAAUAACCAAUUAAAAAUAAUGAUCUAAAUUUAUACUUUAAUUUUAACUAAUAGUAUGAUCUCUUAUUAUUUACCUCUGAUAAAGUCCAAAUGUUUGUAGGCCUAUAGCUCUGAUGAUAUACAAUGAAAUAUCUUUCUCAUGAGUGUAGAAUAUCUAGAUUAUAUUUAAUGCAUCUACUUUUUGAGGAAAAGGAAACCCUUAAUAAAAUAGCUUCAAACACUUGGUUUUAAAAAAUGAGAAAACAAAUACAUUACAGGACUUUUGGAUUUAUCACCAACAUGUGAAGGGC